rnacentral:rRNA from 1 species
UACGAAGGGUGCAAGCGUUAAUCGGAAUUACUGGGCGUAAAGCGUGCGUAGGCGGUUUCUUAAGUCUGCUGUGAAAUCCCCGAGCUCAACUUGGGAAUUGCAGUGGAUACUGGCAAGCUGGAGUACGGUAGAGGAAGGUGGAAUUCCCGGUGUAGCAGUGAAAUGCGUAGAGAUCGGGAGGAACACCGAUGGCGAAGGCAGCCUCCUGGGAUAACACUGACGCUCAUGCACGAAAGCGUGGGGAGCAAACAGG